rnacentral:rRNA from 1 species
ACUACGGGGGGCAGCAGUGGGGAAUAUUGCACAAUGGGGGAAACCCUGAUGCAGCGACGCCGCGUGAGUGAAGAAGUAAUUCGUUACGUAAAGCUCUAACAGCAGGGAAGAAAAUGACGGUACCUGAGUAAGAAGCCACGGCUAACUACGUGCCAGCAGCCGCGGGAAUACGUAGGGGGAAAGCGUGAUCCGGAUUUACUGGGUGUAAAGGGAGCGUAGACGGGGCGCCAGUUCUGGAGUGAAAUGCCGCAGCUUAACUGCGGAACUGCUGUGGAAACUGGCGAACUAGAGUGCGGGAGGGGUAAGCGGAAUUCCUAGUGUUGCGGUGAAAUGCGUAGAUAUUAGGAGGAACACCGGUGGCGAAGGCGGCUUACUGGACCGUAACUGACGUUGAGGCUCGAAAGCGUGGGGAGCAAACAGGAUUAGAUACCCGAGUAGUC